CGUUGUUCAUCGAAAUUAAACCCCCCCAUAACAAUCCAAACACACAAAUACUUGAGAAAGAAUUUAACCAAGCUAGAACAAAAGUGACAAAUUAGAGUCCAAAUACAAUCCGAAAAUGCAUUGUCCAUAGCAUGACUGAAUACAAUAAAGUUCAAAUAGUAAAACUAAUUCAAUAAGGAACAUAUGAAUAGUCUUUGAAGAAUAUAGACUAAUAUUCAGCCUAGUUCACAUUCAUCCACAAGUCCAAAUUGAUCACAUAGCUUCAAUAUGCACUUCACAUGUUAGUGAGAUCCAAGAAGUACCUGAGUUCAGCAAAAGUAACAAAAAAACAAGCCCAAGGUUAGGAAGAAACAACAGCAGUAGAUCAGCAACACCAACACAACAACAUUCCUCCCUUUAAACCAUUUUUAAAACCCCAAAUAGUUCAGAAAUCCUUUGAAAUUCUUCAACUACUACUAACAAUGAAAUUAAAGACCAAUCCCCAGUAAUUUUUGACCCCAAAAUGAUGCAGAAAUUUCUGUACUUUUUCAGAGUAUACAGGCUCUUUCAGAAGUUUAGUGCAGAGAAAAAUGAGGCUGAAAAAUCUCCUAUGAAACAGCAGAUUUUUUUCUUUUUUGCAAUCUUUCUAUAUUUUUUUUGGAUUUCAGCCCUCAGAAAAAUCUCUGCCUUCAAAGGCAAGAAAAGAUAUGGGUCAAUCUUGACCCAAAGCUUAAAAGGCUUUUGCUGUGGGGUCGAGAAUAGCCUCAAGGCCCAAACAAAAUCAGAAGCUCAUUUUAAUGAAUCAAUAAUCACUUGGGAGAUUUUAAAACUAAAAUUCUAGCUAAAUGACUGAUUUCUCUUUUAAGGCUAACUAAUGAACUAUAAUUAAGCUAUACUACCUAAUCAGCCACAGCUAAUUGUACAAUUAGAAGAAUCAGAAAUUGUGACCUAAAUAAAGCUAAACAGGCAACAUACACAAAUCAAACAAAACUGACGACAAAUUUGAAAAGAAAAUUGGAGAACACACAGAAUGAAUACGAACACCAAAAUGAAAACCUAGGUUUAAAAAUUUCAUCAACUUUUAGUCAGAAUAAAAAUUAAUUAAAGAAAAGGAGAAGAAAAGAAGAGGAAGACGGUGAAGUGAAAGAAAUGGACAGAAAAAAAUAAAGAAGCUUACCGACUAAACUCGACACCAACAUUGGAUUUCCAAUUUAUCCCAAAAUAAUGUUAAUAUCUUGUUCUUUGUCAAGAACCAGCGACCAUCAUUGUUUCAUGAUAAAUCGGCCUUGAACACUCAGGAAAAUCGGGGAAAUAGCCCUUGCAUGCACAGAAUCUGAUUUUGGGUUUUUAGGGUUUCAUACUUCAAAUCAAGAUUCGACGGGUUCUGGAAAGAUUCGAGAGAAACGAGUACCAGAUUUGGUAUGAGGGAGACAUGAAGGUCAUGGGGUGUUAUUUUGGGAGUGGUUGGAGGUGGCGCCGCCGGUUGAGGUGAUGGAAAAAUAGGGCGGCGGAUUAGGGUUUGGAGCUUUUGAGUCAGAUUCGAGAAAUUCAGGUGUGAUUCAAGGGAAAAGGGGUGUGGAUUUGGAAUGAGGAGAAGGAGAGGGAGCUAGGGUGUAAAUUUGGUAGCCAUCGGAGACCUACCGCCGCCGUAGGGCAAUUUCCGGCGGCGGUGCACGGUGGGGUUACGUUGGGGUCUUUGAGAGUGUUGGAGACGACGAGAGGGGGUCGGAGUGGUUCGGACAUUUUUAUGCGGGAGGAAGGGCCAGUUC
rnacentral:lncRNA from 1 species